rnacentral:rRNA from 1 species
UGAGGAAUAUUGGUCAAUGGGCGAGAGCCUGAACCAGCCAAGUAGCGUGCAGGAUGACGGCCCUAUGGGUUGUAAACUGCUUUUAUGUGGGGAUAAAGUGCGUGACGUGUCAUGCAUUGCAGGUACCACAUGAAUAAGGACCGGCUAAUUCCGUGCCAGCAGCCGCGGUAAUACGGAAGGUCCGGGCGUUAUCCGGAUUUAUUGGGUUUAAAGGGAGCGUAGGCUGUCUAUUAAGCGUGUUGUGAAAUUUACCGGCUCAACCGGUGGCUUGCAGCGCGAACUGGUCGACUUGAGUAUGCAGGAAGUAGGCGGAAUUCAUGGUGUAGCGGUGAAAUGCUUAGAUAUCAUGAAGAACUCCGAUUGCGAAGGCAGCUUACGGGAGCGCAACUGACGCUGAAGCUCGAAGGUGCGGGUAUCGAACAGG